rnacentral:misc_RNA from 1 species
ACGAGUGCGGCCCCCUUCGGGGUGCCACCCUCCCACCCGUGUUUACGUACCAUGUUGCUUCGGCGGGGCCCCGCCCCUAGGGCCCGUCGGGGGGCAUCUGCCCCCGGACGUGCGCCCCGCCGGAGACCACACGAAACGCUUGUCUGAAGACUGCCGUCUGAGUGGAUUGAUAAAAUCAGUCAA